GUUUAUGCUUUACUGUCGUUCGAUGGACGGCAUUUGCCGUGUAAACGUAACGAACAGUUGGUUGCUGAAAAACUACAGUUGUUUCUUGAUAAAAAGCUGACGAUGAUUGUAUACAACUUUUGUAUUAGAUGUUUGUUAAAAAAUUGGGAAAGAUUUAUUACAACUGGCUUUGAAUGGAGAAGAUAAAAUGACGCAAUGAACUUAGUUCUGUUGUCGGUUGAUGCAACCGUGACGCGAGUUUACGCGACCAUGACGAGACAGUUUCUAAAGUAGCUCGGUUCUUUCCGAAUAGGUUACGCACGGUGUUUGAGAAAAUCGAAAUGACACGGAGGAAAUUUUCUAGGAAAUUUGAAAUGUACAUUCUUAGAACAUGAAAUAAUAAAAUAUUUGUCGUACAUAGCCUGACUCGACAAACUUAUUCUAUAUUGGACGAAAACAAGCAAUGUUUAUAUUGCAUCUUUGAUACCUGUCGUUGCAUAUUGGCGAGGAACGUUGAACGAGUAUUUUUCGAAUAUUCUUUUUUUAAGAGGAACGAAUCUGUACGAAUGGACGAUAGAGCGUACGAGAGAAAGACAAGGGUAAAGCAUCUUCUCGAGUAAUGUAUCGAACUAUAUUUAAUUACCAAAAAUAAUAUACGUAGAAGAAGCCAAGUAUGGCAUCUAAAAAAAAGGAGUGAGAUCUAAAAAGACAAUAAGAUAGAGGUUGCAAUUAUAUAAGAAGUAGAUAGUGGUGAUAGAAAUAGAUGUGCAUAUGUAUAUAUGCAAUGGAAACGUAGAUAGAACUGGUAUUGCCAGUGAUGAUGUUGAUGAUGCUGAUAGAGGUAGUGUUAAUAGCGUUGACGAUGGUAUACUAGUGAUUCCAAUGAUUGCAACAGCGAGUAACGGUGACGGUGACUAUGACGAUGACGAUGACGAUUACGAUGACGAUACUGGUAGCGACGUUAACGACGUCAAUAAUAAUAAAAGCUAUAGAAGAAGAGACAGUCCAUGGAAGCACGAUACUGGUGAAAAGUUCGAGUAUCGUACGAACGACGAUAGCCAGCUGGAGACUAUGCAUCGGCAACAGAGGCUUCGUUCCUCAUCGUCAUCUUUAUCAUCGUUAACCUUACCGCUCUCGAUGUCUCGUUCAUCUAUCCCAUCCACAACUACAUCGAUAUCGUCUGUAACGAUGCCGUCUUCUACGGCAACCUCAACGUCGCCAUCGCCGUCGCCAUCGACGCCGUCGUCGCCGUUAUCGUCGUCAUCGCCGUUGUCAUCGUCGUCCAUCUUUCUACCAUUGUCAACGACGUGGCCGACAUCGAAUUUGUCCUCAUAUUCCUGGAGCGUACAACAAACCUCAUGUUCGAGGUUACCUUCGUUACCAAGCGAAUCGUCGAUCGUGUCAACUGUAUCGAUACCCUGCCCAAAACUCGUCUCUGUGUUAGCUUGGUCUGUGACACUGUUACUCGUUUCGUCGUGCAUCGGUCUAACGGACGCUGGCAUCUUGAAUGGACAUCCUUUGGGUAAAAGGUCCUUUAUUGAUAUUCAAUGUAAGGGUAUAUACGAUAAAAGUAUCUUUGCCCGGCUGGACCGUAUCUGCGAGGAUUGUUAUAACCUGUUUCGGGAACCUCAAUUACAUCAACUAUGCAGGAAAAACUGCUUUACAUCAGACUACUUCAAAGGAUGCUUAGACGUACUGUUGUUACAAGACGAAGUAGAGAAGAUCCAAACAUGGAUCAAGACACUUCAUGGAGCGGAACCCGGGGUUUAGGUAGCUUCUUUUUUUAUGUUUAUGAUUUCUUAUCCGCGUAUUUUCAUUUUAUAGCUUUACAUGUAGUACUCUAUUCGCCGAACGCAUUCGCUUCUCUCAUUUUCCUCUCUUUUCGAUCUACCCCGAUCAUCUUAUCGUCCUUUUCCAUUUUAUCAUUUUCUUUCAGCAAUCAUUCAUCUUACUUAAGUCUCGAACAACUACUUCUUUCUCCUUCAACUACUCUUACCUCUUUAAACUCUUCUUCUUCUUCUUCUUCUUCUCCUUCUCAUUCCCCGCUUUCUGUUUCUCUUUCUCCAUCUCCAUUCUCAUCUUCUUGUCCUUCUAUAUUCCGAUUCUUGAAUUUUCUCUACUUUUUGAUUGCACGUUUGUUUUCGUUGCUCGUUAACAAAUUCUCGUUCCCGAUAGUUACCAACAUUUACGAUCGAACUAGUUGUUUUCCGAUCGACGGAAACUAUACGCCUUUGUCGUCGUCUCAAGAAUUUAUGAACCACGACUCAACGAUGCACACGAUAUACACGAUGAUACGCGACAUAUGCGCAUGCUGUAUGUGUCUUUAGGCAAAACUGCUUUGGUACGCAAUACUUCAACAGCUGCGUUCAAGCAUUGCUGCUUGAAGAUGAAAAGGAAAAGCUUUUGGAGAUGGUCGAGUACCUAGGCGGCAAGAAGUAAGAAGAAAAGAACACAGAGGCGCUUUCAUUACGAAGACUUUCAUUAACACGACAUCUACGAUGAACGAUUCUAACAAGACCAACGAGGAACUACGAGAAACGAGAAGCUAUAAGAAACAAUUUCGACAACGAUUUUCCGCAGAAUUUUGAGUAACUUAUCAACAUUCGUUCAUGCUAUUUUCUUCACAACGUCCGAAAGAUCGAACACCCCUGAACUGGGAAUUCGAGGCACGCUACGCAAUCAUACCUCUUCCUUUCAUUUCCAGGAUGCAUCAAAUGGAUUAGCAGUAAAAGUAAUUGAUUACUACACGCAUACACUCGUUCACACGGAGAGAGCGGGAAAAUGGGAGAGAAAAAGAAUGAGACAUGCAAAUAUGCAUCCGGGAGCAAACAGAUCUUUACAGAAACAGAUUGAAUUUUAGACAGAUUUAAUAGGCGAAUAUUCGAUAAAUUAUCAGUUAAAUAAAUCAGCAAAAUUUCUGCUUUUUCUAUAAGGCAAUCACAGAUCUACCGACAGAUCGAUGUGAUCGUAAACGUAAUAAAGUAUUAGUUAAAUUAUUCAUUUUUAUCGUUAUCUCGGCUUCGUCUCAUUCGUUUUUCUCCUUUUUCAAAGCAUUGCGUAUCAAAGCAUGAAAACGAAGUGGUAUGAGCUAAGUUUGCGUGCUAAUGAACCCAUAUACGAAUCUAGUCGACAGAAUAUUUGCGUUUUAUUCAAUUAAUCAUUAAUUAUUUACUUUAAAUACCGUCGUCCGUUAUUACAACGAUUAUUAUUUUUUAUCCUUUUAUAUUGAUAUUAUAAUUCUUAGAAAACUAGCAAUCGUACAUGUUACUUAUUCAGUAUAUGAUUCCAAUGGUUAAAGUAGAUUGAUAGAUAGUUAAAUAGUUAGAUAGAUAGAGCCUUUAUGAUGGUUUGUCGCAAUUACCAUUAAAAAUCUCGCCCAAACCGCUUUAUAUGCACUUGUGGAAGAGGACAAGAUUUUUGUUAUAGAUUUUAGUAACAGACUUCGAUUCGAUCGUCGAAAUGUUCAAAUGAUUGGCUAAAGCAGGGCAUUCGAUACAAAAACCGAGGAAGAUUCAUGGAUCAAAUUAAUACUACGUCACCAAUUAUCUACAGUAUUUCUAUUAUUAAUGCUAUAAUGUUACUGCUGCUACCACUAUUACUAUUACAAUUGCUGCUCCACAAAAACUACAAAAACAGUAAAAAUAAUUAUACUGUUGUUGUGGUUGUUAAAUCAUUGCUAUUGCUACCUCCAAUAGUACUGCUAUCGCUACUGUGACCGUUACUACCGCUAUUGUCGUUGCAAUUGUAUAUAAGUAAAAUUACUUGCAUCGUCACUCUCGUUGCUACUCUAUUUCCACUUUCACCACAACUAUUGCAUCUACUAAUAUUAUUCUUUCAAUUAUUGCUAUUAUUAACUUCAACUACAACGGCAAUGCAACGAUAUCGAUAUCAUCAUUGAAUACUAUUGCAGUUGCUAUUCGUUUUUAUUACUUCUAUUCUUAUUGAUUAUUACUACAGCUGCUACUGCUACUUCUACCAUUACAACCCUUACUAUUACUAUCGCUACUAUUAUUAUCGUUAGUACUAUUGCUAUUACUAUUACUAUUAUUAACUUAUUGCUAUUGCUGCGACUAUAACUUCUAUUACUGAUAUUGUGUUAUACUAUAUUAUAUUAUUUUAUAUUAUAUUGUUAGUUUAUAGCAUACUUAUUGUUGUUUAAUUGCUACGACAGUGUGACAACUUCGAGUCCACCUUUGAUUAUUUGGAAAAAUAUAGAGAAGCGAACAAAAUUGUGUGGUGUAGAUAGCUAAAACUACGACCAAUGCGAAUACUCGGUUGUUCAUGAGUCGAACGAUGAACGGAGUUAUGCGUAUGUAGUAAAUGUAUAAUAUUUAUUUAUUUGUUUACUUUUUUAGUUUGAGAAAGGCGAUCGUAAAGCGGUCACAAAACUUACGCAACAAUAUUCUUCGAAAUAGUUAUUGUAUGAAAAAAGUUACGAUCGAAAUUAAUCAUUUCCGCGUAUAAGUUUACAGCCCGAUAGAUGAUCUCUGAUUAUCAAGCAGGAACCGUUAAGUGGAUACUAUGAAAAUUCCAUUAACGUUACUAAA